ACAUACAAAAGUACUACCCUGAUCCAGCUUCACCCUUUCAAAACACAGUGUCUGCUCAUUCCAUAUGUUUAUACAGCACUCACCAAGUCAUCACUUAAGUCUUUCCCAGAUGGGCAGAGUGACUGAAGCCAGAGUUCUGCAUCUUGCCUUCCCAAGAAUCAGCAAUGGGAGAAUGUUGUCCAUCAGGGACUGACUGUGAUAGUCAAUGAAGCCUCCAAAUGUACUGGUAUCCCUAGUCUUUACUGUGGAAGAAUUUCUUGCCAGUCAAGGACAUAAAGUCAUAAACAUGGGUAACUGGCGCUGAGAACGUCCUUGGUUCCCAGCGAGGCUAGGAAAUCGAGAUGUAAACAACUGAGCACCCCACACACAGCUGCAGUGGGCAGAGACUAGAUAACCAAGGGGGCUGGAGUGGGUGGUCUGGGAGGCUGACCCUUAGAAUGUUGUGAUAAGUUAACCUAUGCACACCUUACAUGUAACUCUGGACCCUCUGACUGUAACCAAUCUUAAGCUGAGCACGCCUCUUGCUAGAAUGCAUAUAAGUCACUGUAUCACGGAAAUAAAGUGGAUUUGACCAUCUAACCAUAUUGGUGAACAAAGAGUCAUCUUCCCAUAGCGCUCCACCGAACGUGAUUCCCAACAUCUGGCGCUCGAACAGAGGAGUCAGGACACAAGCCGGCCGCAGGUGAGACUGCGUUGGGGGCCGGAGGGUUGGCCCGAAGACAGAGGGGUCCGAUCAACUUGUGGGACGUUCUCCGUAUCGGAGAGAGUAAGCGUCAUUCGGUGCCGCUGGGCCGGGUAGCGCUGCCCCGAGGUGGCAGUAGUCUGGACGUUCAUUUCCGGAGUGAACAGCCCGUGUGUAAGGCAGGUAAGGCCCACGGUGGAUUUGCUGGGGCACUGCGUUUGCUGGCGUAUUUAUCUCGUGAGAGAAGUUCGACGGACAUUGAGCUCUGAGAGCUGCUGGCCCGGGCGUAUGCGCAGGGUCAUGCGAGUAAAGAGCCUCCCAUGAUUUUAAGAUCGAAAGUGCAGCGGGAGGUCGGAGACGCACUGUGGGACGCGGUUCUUAGCAACGGCACAGACUUUGAGUCGCCCCGCCAGCUAAGUCCCGCCCGGCGGGAGGUGCUCCGCGCGUUACUAAAGAUGGAAGCCGAAAGAAACACGGCGGCGGUGGUCUUCCUGGUAUUACUCCUAGCCCUGCCGGCCGCUACGAACAGCUCUGACGCGUGCGCGGCGCCAGGUUUUUCCUCCACCCCCGCCCCGAGCGUCCCGGAGAGAGAAGGCUCCGUGGUUCGGUUUUUCGGUCUCGGCAGAGCUGCUUCCGUUAAAGGCGUGGCUGGGAAGGUUGCCAGCUCUGUGGCGGAGUUGAAAAUGAGCGUGCCGUACGAUCCCGGCGGGCACCCGUGUCGCCCGCCCCACCCGCCCCGCCUCCGCCCUCCUUCCCUACUGGAGCCGCGCCCGGUAACCCGAUUGUAGCCACGUUGACCGCAGGAGCAAUACGCGGUUCGCAACAAGGUUGCCGGCGGUUUGCCUUUAUAGUACCAUCUCUGACUGAAGCUGAGCCUGCGAGCCGCUCUGAGUACACAACUUUGCCGCGAGGCAUGCAGACCACACCAACUCUCUGCUGAUUGUUCGUUGCAAAGCAUUUGCAAGCCCCCGAGAAGAACUGGGCGUGUGCAAUUGUUUAUCACUAUGUGAAUGACUUUGUUUUCUGUCCCCGCUGACGAGUCUUAGUCUCCGAGAGACAUCUCGUCUUGCUUCAGCUCUGUGGGCUGCACGUAGAAAGCUAAGGACUUUUUGAUCGGUCUAACUGGAGCGCUGGGAGAGAUGCGCUUGGGACUGAGUUGCGGCUGACACACCCAUGAUGGCGGCUGCCCGUAGCGACUCACUGACACACCCGUGAUGGCGGCUGCCCGCAGCGACCCGCCGGCAGCCAGUUACAAUCGCUUCUCAGCUUGGAAAAGUUUUCGGACCUGCCGCGCGGAGGGCGGCUGCCUGCCGCUGUGUGUACUGUGUCGAAUCUGCCGCUGUAGCCCGCGCGUCCCCGCGGAUGGCUGCACGCGAUACAGGACACCGCCUUUUAGUUUUUCAGCCGGUAAAAGACGUUACUGAAGGUACAGAGGAACGGACGGUAAAGAGAGAACGGACCGACGGCAGACGUGACCGCACCGGACGGCUCGGGACCCUCCCUUUCCCGCGGCUCGGCGGAACAGUCUUCAGAUCCGCCCCCUUCACCGCCGCCCGCCCGCCCAUCUCCGACGGACCGCAUCCCAAAGCCGAGGGGUCUCCCGCGAGUCUUCAACAGCUGGGGGACUGAGGGAGAUGCUGAGGGGAUCGGUGGGGUGGGAAGAGUUUGUGGGUUUCCUUGAGUCGUUUCAGAGUUUAGUCAAUUUGCGUUUGUAUGGCUACAGGGAGAUUAGCUGUUCGAUAGCUCACAGCUUCACCUCUGCCUUUUUUUUUCUGGAAGAGCCUGAGAGGGAGGACGGCAGUUUGGGAGUUUUCAGAGUAGAUUUCAUGUUGUGUACUAAGGAUCGAUAGUGGGAUGGGAGAAGGACGAAAACAGCAAGUGGUGGCUGACCUGAAACAGCUAGGGGUUGGGCGAGAUGGAAGGCCGAGGACAAAAGCGGCGCUGCGGCUGCUGGCCUCCUCCCCCUCCUCCUCUCCCCCUCUAGCCACCUGUGGAGGGCCCGCGGGGCCCCGUUCCCCCCCCGCCCGUUGUUUCUUUUACGGAUUUUUUUUUCCCUGCUAGGAGGCAGCGAAGCCUCGAAGCUGUUUUGACAACACCAGAUGCGAGGGGAGAGCUCUUCACUGAGGGACUGAUUGGAUACUGGAAUGGGCUCCCCGGGGAGGUGGUGAAGUCGCCGUCCCUGGUGCCCUGGAGCUGUUCAAGGCAAGGUUGGACGUGGCGCUUGGUGCCAUGGUCUGACCUUGAGCCCCGUGGUGACGGGUUGGACUUGAUGACCUAUGAGGUCUCUUCCAACCCUGAUGGUACUGUGAUACUGUGCUACUGCAGACAGAUGUCAGAAAGUUUAUGGAAAUGGUAGCAAGAAUGACAAGGAUGACUUAGGACCAUUUUUGUCCCUGUUACAGGCAUGGACACGCACAGGUGUAUUUUUUAGUCACCUGAUGAUAACAGUUUGCAUUCCGGAUGAUGGCUGAUAGUUCCUGGCUGGGGUAUUCACCAUCGCCUUGCUGGUUAAUUCCUUCUACAGAUUAGGCAGCAAUGACUUUUGCACCCCCUGCUCAGUGGCAAAAAGAAAAAGAGGGAGAUUGCUAGGACAUAGCAGAGAUGCCAAUGCCACUGACCAUGGGUGGAAACUUAUACAGACAUGGAAGGCACCAAGCAGGACAGAUUAGAACUCAGAUGCAUUGCCUCUCACAGCGAGGGUGUAGGCACUGAGAUCCACAUUGCAAGUCACUAACCAGAUUCUGGACUAGGAGCAGGGAAUGAUAGAGCUUGUAGGCUAAUGCCAGUCAGCUCCUUCCCCCAAUAACAGAUAAUGACAGGACUAGUAUAGAAGUUUACUGGAACAGCUGCUAAUUGCAUGAACUGAGUCUUGUGACAAUUCUGACUUUUCCCUUUUCUGAGAAUACCAUGGUAUUGUUAUCUUCUUGGAUUUUCUUUGCUUUUCUUGAAGUUCCUAUAGCUGAUAGAUAUUUAGGGUAAGAUAAGUUAAGACUAAGGGUUUGUAGUUUUGGGAACUUAGGACACAAGGAUGUUAUGGGAUGUUUUUCUUGGGUACAUUUAGGCAUUAUUGAAAAGGGGAAUAUGGGUUAGAGGACAGUAGGAUAGCAGAAGAAAUCUUUUCCUUUUCGGGAUUUUUCUAAUCACAGCAUACAGACUAGGCCAGUGGAUCUGCUAGCCUAGGCAAUGGAUGUGUCUGCAUUUGUUCUUGUAUCUGCUUGUGUUUGACCAUUUAUCUUCACAGGCCUUGAUGAAGACCAACCUGAUUAUGACCAACUUGUUUUUUCCUAAAGUGAGCAGAAGUCUUGCUCAGAUGGCAGAACUGUGAAAGGACUUGAAAGAAGCACUGACAUGAUGAUUGUAUUUGUAUGGAUCUUUAAGCCCAAGGACACGGCUGCCAGGACUUUGAAGGGAUGUGUUGUCUGAAUUUAUCAGAUCAUGGUGAGUCCAUUCACAAGAGUAUAACCUGGUAGAAAGGCCGUAUUGACAAGAUCAAAAAGGAAACAUCGACUUUUGAUGACUGGUUGCAGAACCUGUUUGGGACAAUCCCGGGGUGGUUAAGCAGCUUAUUAGGAGAAGGCUUACGGUUAUUUGUUAUUUUCAUAAUAAUUCUGCUAUGCGCUUGUAUUGUCUUUGCUUGCAUUAAGAAGAGCUUAACUAAGGUAGUUAGCCAGGUGUGGGUUGCUCAAAAGAAAAAGAGGGAAUUGUGGAAGAAUUUCUCGCCAGUCGAGGACAUAAAGUCAUAAACAUGGGUAACUGGCGCUGAGAACGUCCUUGGUUCCCAGCGAGGCUAGGAAAUCGAGAUGUAAACAACUGAGCACCCCACACACAGCUGCAGUGGGCAGAGACUAGAUAACCAAGGGGGCUGGAGUGGGUGGUCUGGGAGGCUGACCCUUAGAAUGUUGUGAUAAGUUAACCUAUGCACACCUUACAUGUAACUCUGGACCCUCUGACUGUAACCAAUCUUAAGCUGAGCACGCCUCUUGCUAGAAUGCAUAUAAGUCACUGUAUCACGGAAAUAAAGUGGAUUUGACCAUCUAA